UUUCCUCUCCCAUCAUCUUCUUAUGCUGUGACAUUUGCGGAAGCUGCUUUCCUUUCUCAUCUCAGCUCUGCAGGCUGAAGGCAGGCUCUGCCCGGUGUUCAAUGUUGAAUGCUCUCCUGUGCAAGGACUGGCCCAUGCUGUAGACAUGUGCUGGAGUCUUUCUAGGAGGCGCUUUAGAGGGACAGCGUGAAGACAGUGCUUGUCUGUUUACAUCGCCUUUGGUUCAGCCGCCUUUUAUCACCAUCACUGACACGUUGCAAACAAGCCUGGGGAAAAGACAAGCAAGCGCUCAGGAAUGAACAGCUCCAGACCGGCCGGGGAUGGGCCGGACCCAGGGUUCUGGCACUAUCUCCUCAACAGACAGGAAGAAAAGCCAGCCGCUGAUAUGAGGAUGAUUUAGAAGCUAAGGUCUGCAGCUCAGCAAUCAUGCCUCUGAACGGUUUCCCACGUGAAGUGUUUGAAGAAGCGGUCGACGUGUGACUGAUCUCCAAGGCCCACCGCCUGGUCUUCUUUAAGGAUGAGGCAGAGGCAGAAGGAAAGGUGAUGCUGAUAAGGGAAUCUGAACCAAAUGUUGUCACAUUCUAGAGAUGAUUAGAUGCCCUUGCCGUGACUUAUUACACAACCUGAGACUGGAAAGAGAAAACCUGGGAUGAAAUGUAGCCGCAAGGGGGGGAAGACGCUUUUUCAGCAAAGAGCAAAAGGCAAGAGAGAAACUGUUAUCGAUGCCUAAGAGCGGGUUGGGUGUCAGAGCGCUCUCUGUGCUGUGGGAUGUAUGGGAGGCAGCAGUAAAUCAUCCCCCUGACUCAGACCUACCGUGAUCUAAAUUUAUAUCUGCACAAGUUGCUGAUAAUGUAAAAAAGCUUUGCUUUAAUAAAGGACAGGACAAUACAUUUAAAAUGCAAUUUUGGUAGGUAUGGGUUGUUUCAAAUUUUGCUUUUUCCUUGUGUACAUUAACAAAUGAAGCUUUGAAGCCAAAUACACAUAAUAGAAUGAAUAGACUUAAAUUUGAAAUCCUCUCUAAACUUCAAGUAAUUGUUUCUGUAUUUGCUUAUAAGCAAAACUAUUGCUUCCUAUAUUUCAGAUGUGUAAUACACAACUUAAAGAAAGUGCAGCGUUGCUCUUAAAUCUGCAUUUUCUUUUAAAAAGACAGUUACCUGUAACCAUAUGUCUAAUCUUGAGAUUAGAUACAUUUUCUAUAUGCUUUGACAUCUAUAAUGAAAUAUUUAGCUUAACAGAAAAGGCAAAGGACUUUGGGAUUCUGGAGGAGCUCUUUGGUCAGAACACUAGUUCACUUGAGAGUAUUUUCAUAUCUGUAAAACACCCUUUUAAAGCUAUCAGAAAAAAAAAAAAUCUGCUGUUGUGGAAAAUACUGAUUUGUCACAUUAUGCACAGACUCCAGAGUGCAGUUUAUACAUGACGUGUUGUACACAACCGUUGCUGCAUGGCUUAAUUUUCCAUACAAAUGCAGAAGUUACAUUAAGUUACAUUUCUCAAGACUCUUCCAUUUAGUCUCUCAUUUUUCUCACUGAUUUCAGGACAGGCAGCAUCUCCCCUUACAUCCACCUCCCUGCAGAUCCUAGGAGAGGACAGAGCAGAACCUCUUAUUGUGUUACUUAUUGUGUAGCUUUGAAUAAGUAUGAGUCAAUUCUGUUUUGGAAAAGUAGUGUCGUUCUUAAUAUUAGUCAUGGUUUACACAAUAAUUAAAGUGUCCACAAGUUUUUCAAAAACAGUUUUAUUAAGUGUGAAGACCUUGAAACAAAGAUUUUAGAAUUAAAUGAGUUAUAAUUGUGUUUAUUGAA